rnacentral:rRNA from 1 species
AGAGUGAACGCUGGCGGCAGGCCUAACACAUGCAAGUCGAGCGGGCGUAGCAAUACGUCAGCGGCAGACGGGUGAGUAACGCGUGGGAACGUACCUUUUGGUUCGGAACAACACAGGGAAACUUGUGCUAAUACCGGAUAAGCCCUUACGGGGAAAGAUUUAUCGCCGAAAGAUCGGCCCGCGUCUGAUUAGCUAGUUGGUGAGGUAACGGCUCACCAAGGCGACGAUCAGUAGCUGGUCUGAGAGGAUGAUCAGCCACAUUGGGACUGAGACACGGCCCAAACUCCUACGGGAGGCAGCAGUGGGGAAUAUUGGACAAUGGGCGCAAGCCUGAUCCAGCCAUGCCGCGUGAGUGAUGAAGGCCCUAGGGUUGUAAAGCUCUUUUGGUGCGGGAAGAUAAUGACGGUACCGCAAGAAUAACGCCCGGCUAACUUCGCGCCAGCAGCCGC